GGCUCAGGACGAACGCUGGCGGCGCGCUUAACACAUGCAAGUCGAGCGAGAACCGGGGCUUCGGCCCCGGGGACAGCGGCGAACGGGUGAGUAACACGUGGGUAAUCUGCCCUUGACAUCGGGAUAGCCCGGGGAAACCCGGAUUAAUACCGAAUAGCCUCCGGAGCCUUCGGGCGCCGGAGAAAAGGUAGCUUCGGCCUCUGGUCAAGGAUGAGCCCGCGGCGGAUUAGCUUGUUGGCGGGGUAACGGCCCACCAAGGCGACGAUCCGUAGCUGGUCUGAGAGGACGAUCAGCCACACUGGGACUGAGACACGGCCCAGACUCCUACGGGAGGCAGCAGUGGGGAAUCUUGCGCAAAUGCGGGAAACCGUGACGCAGCGACGCCGCGUGGGGGAAGAAGGCCUUCGGGUUGUAAACCUCUUUCAGGAGGGACGAAGCUACUCGGGUGAAUAGCCCAGAGGGUGACGGUACCUUCAGAAGAAGCCCCGGCUAACUACGUGCCAGCAGCCGCGGUAAUACGUAGGGGGCAAGCGUUGUCCGGAUUUAUUAGGCGUAAAGAGCGUGUAGGCGGCUUGGUAGGUCUGCUGUGAAAACUCGAGGCUCAACCUCGAGCUGUCGGCGGAAACCACUUGGCUAGAGUCCGGAAGAGGAGAGUGGAAUUCCUGGUGUAGCGGUGAAAUGCGCAGAUAUCAGGAAGAACACCUAUGGCGAAGGCAGCUCUCUGGGACGGUACUGACGCUGAGACGCGAAAGCGUGGGGAGCGAACAGGAUUAGAUACCCUGGUAGUCCACGCUGUAAACGAUGGGUGCUAGGUGUGGGCGGUGUCGACUCCGUCCGUGCCGCAGAUAACGCAUUAAGCACCCCGCCU
rnacentral:rRNA from 1 species